GACGAACGCUGGCGGCGUGCUUAACACAUGCAAGUCGAACGGAAAGGCCCUGCUUUUGUGGGGUGCUCGAGUGGCGAACGGGUGAGUAACACGUGAGUCACCUGCCCUUGACUAUGGGAUAACUUCAGGAAACUGGGGCUAAUACCGGAUAGGAGCUCCUGCUGCAUGGUGGGGGUUGGAAAGUUUCGGCGGUUGGGGAUGGACUCGCGGCUGCUCAGCUUGUUGGUGGGGUAGUGGCUUACCAAGGCUUUGACGGGUAGCCGGCCUGGGAGGGUGACCGGCCACAUUGGGACUGAGGUACUGCCCAGACUCCUACGGGGGGCAGCAGUGGGGAAUAUUGCACAAUGGGCGGAAGCCUGACGCAGCAACGCCGCGUGCGGGAUGACGGCCUUCGGGUUGUAAACCGCUUUCGCCUGUGACGAAGCGUGAGUGACGGUAAUGGGUAAAGAAGCUCCGGCUAACUACGUG
rnacentral:rRNA from 1 species